rnacentral:rRNA from 1 species
UGAAACCAGGAUUAGAUACCCUAUUAUUUUAAAAUGAAUACAAACAAACUAAAUUAGUAUUAGAUAUAUACUUUAAAAUUAAAAGAUUUGGCGGUAGUUUAAUCCUAUUAGAGGAACUUGUUUUUUAAUCGAUAACCCACGUAUAAUCUUACUUGUCUUUGUUUACAGUAGUUUGUAUACCAUCAUUAUAAGGAAAUUCUAAAAGGAUAAAUUUCUUAGAAUAAUUUAUUAUAGAAAUUAGAUCAAGGUGCAGCUAAUAGAUAAGUUAAAAUGAGUUACAGUAAAUUGUUUUAUGACGAAUUAAAUUAAAUUAAAAUUUUUAUGAAGGAGGAUUUGAUUGUAGCGUGAAUUUAAUAAGUUUGCGCGGAAUUGGCUCUAAACUAUGUACAUAUCGCCCGUCG